rnacentral:rRNA from 1 species
UACGUAGGGUGCGAGCGUUAAUCGGAAUUACUGGGCGUAAAGCGUGCGCAGGCGGUUUUGUAAGCCAGGUGUGAAAUCCCCGGGCUCAACCUGGGAAUGGCAUUUGGGACUGCAAGGCUGGAGUGCGGCAGGAGACUGGAAUUCCUGGUGUAGCAGUGAAAUGCGUAGAUAUCAGUAGGAACACCGAUGGCGAAGGCAGGUCUCUGGGCUGACACUGACGCUCAUGCACGAAAGCGUGGGGAGCAAACAGG